UAACCUAUUCAGUGAUGAAUAGCUGAACAGUCAGAAGUCAGCAGACGUCAUAGUACAAAUCGGUCUAGAACGAUUUGGAAGGAC
rfam:Sphingobium quisquiliarum P25 contig060, whole genome shotgun sequence.